rnacentral:rRNA from 1 species
UACAGAGGUCCCAAGCGUUGUUCGGAUUCACUGGGCGUAAAGGGUGCGUAGGUGGUGAGGUAAGUCGGAUGUGAAAUCUCCGGGCUCAACCCGGAAAUGGCAUUGGAAACUACCUUGCUGGAGGAUUUGAGGGGGGAUUGGAAUACUUGGGUGUAGCAGUGAAAUGCGUAGAUAUCGGGAGGAACACCAGUGGCGAAGGCGGCGUCCUGGACCAACACUGACACUGAUGAGCGAAAGCCAGGGGAGCAAACGGG